AUAGUUAUUUCUGCUCAAUGUAAAUAGCCGCAGUACCCUGACUGUGCAAAGGUAGCAUAAUAAUUUGGCUUAUAAUUGAAGUCUAGUAUCAACGAAAUAUGGAUGUUUCUGUAUCUAUUAACAAUCAAACUUAAUUAUGAGGUGAAAAUACCUCAGUAAGUAUAAGACGAGAAGACCCUAGAAAUUUUUAUUUUUGUUGGGGCAACAUAUUUUUAAAAUGUAAACUUUAUAAUAAAAUAAUAAGUUACUCUAGGGAUAACAGCAUAAUUUUCUAAGUUUGUGACCUCGAUGUUGGAUUAGGGGAAUUCAAGA
rnacentral:rRNA from 1 species